GUGGUCCUGUAGCGCUGAAGAGCCUCAGAGAAGAGAUUGUAGCUUUGUUGGCUUAGGGUCUUCUUCACUGUUGCAAUGUAUAGGGUAGCUCGGGCCUUCUUUGGCUCAGAUGGGUCUGCUAUCUUACUGGCUAGUGGAUUGUUGACUAGCUUUAUUUUCUUCCUUCCUCCUUUCUGCUCAUCUGUUAACCUCUUCUCAUACUGAAGGGAAAGCGUUGACAGACGUUGUGCCUUUUCCUCCCCUGACAAACCAUCAUCUUCCUCUGCCUCUUUGCUGUUCUUCUCAUUG
rnacentral:lncRNA from 1 species